rnacentral:misc_RNA from 1 species
GAUGAAGAACGUAGCGAAAUGCGAUAAGUAAUGUGAAUUGCAGAAUUCAGCGAAUCAUCGAAUCUUUGAACGCACAUUGCGCCCAUUAGUAUUCUAGUGGGCAUGCCUGUUCGAGCGUCAUUAAUUCCACUUAAGCCCUGCUUAGUGUUGGGAAUCUACUCUAGUGGUGCUACCCUGGAGCUACCCCUGAAAGGGGGCUGGCCCGGUAGCUACCCUGUAGUUCCUCAAAGAUAGUGCGCGGAGUUGCGUGGUCCUCUGAGCUUAGUAACUAUACACCUAGCUUUUGAGUGUCCCGCGGCGCCUGCCGUUUAAACCCCAUCUUUUAAUGGUUGACCUCGGAUCAGGUAGGAAUACCCGCUGAACUUAAGCAUACAAUAAGCGGAGGA